rnacentral:rRNA from 1 species
GGUCAAGUGAAGAAGCGCAUACGGUGGAUGCCUUGGCAGUCAGAGGCGAUGAAAGACGUGGUAGCCUGCGAAAAGCUUCGGGGAGUCGGCAAACAGACUGUGAUCCGGAGAUAUCUGAAUGGGGGAACCCAGCCAUCAUAAGAUGGUUAUCUUGUACUGAAUACAUAGGUGCAAGAGGCGAACCAGGGGAACUGAAACAUCUAAGUACCCUGAGGAAAAGAAAUCAACCGAGAUUCCCUUAGUAGUGGCGAGCGAACGGGGACCAGCCCUUAAGUUGUAUUGAGAUUAGCGGAACGUUCUGGAAAGGACGGCCAUAGUGGGUGAUAGCCCUGUACGCGAAAAUCCCUUUGCAAUGAAAUCGAGUAGGACGGGGCACGAGAAACCUUGUCUGAAUAUGGGGGGACCAUCCUCCAAGGCUAAAUACUACUGACUGACCGAUAGUGAACCAGUACCGUGAGGGAAAGGCGAAAAGAACCGCGGAGAGCGGAGUGAAAUAGAUCCUGAAACCGUAUGCGUACAAGCAGUGGGAGCCCACUUGUUGGGUGACUGCGUACCUUUUGUAUAAUGGGUCAGCGACUUAUUUUCAGUGGCGAGCUUAACCGAAUAGGGGAGGCGUAGCGAAAGCGAGUCUUAAUAGGGCGUCUAGUCGCUGGGAAUAGACCCGAAACCGGGCGAUCUAUCCAUGGGCAGGUUGAAGGUUGGGUAACACUAACUGGAGGACCGAACCGACUACCGUUGAAAAGUUAGCGGAUGACCUGUGGAUCGGAGUGAAAGGCUAAUCAAGCUCGGAGAUAGCUGGUUCUCCUCGAAAGCUAUUUAGGUAGCGCCUCAUGUAUCACUGUAGGGGGUAGAGCACUGUUUCGGCUAGGGGGUCAUCCCGACUUACCAAACCGAUGCAAACUCCGAAUACCUACAAGUGCCGAGCAUGGGAGACACACGGCGGGUGCUAACGUCCGUCGUGAAAGGGAAACAACCCAGACCGUCAGCUAAGGUCCCAAAGUCAUGGUUAAGUGGGAAACGAUGUGGGAAGGCUUAGACAGCUAGGAGGUUGGCUUAGAAGCAGCCACCCUUUAAAGAAAGCGUAAUAGCUCACUAGUCGAGUCGGCCUGCGCGGAAGAUGUAACGGGGCUCAAACCAUGCACCGAAGCUACGGGUAUCAUCUUAGGAUGAUGCGGUAGAGGAGCGUUCUGUAAGCCUGUGAAGGUGAGUUGAGAAGCUUGCUGGAGGUAUCAGAAGUGCGAAUGCUGACAUGAGUAACGACAAUGGGUGUGAAAAACACCCACGCCGAAAGACCAAGGUUUCCUGCGCAACGUUAAUCGACGCAGGGUUAGUCGGUCCCUAAGGCGAGGCUGAAAAGCGUAGUCGAUGGAAAACAGGUUAAUAUUCCUGUACUUCUGGUUAUUGCGAUGGAGGGACGGAGAAGGCUAGGCCAGCCUGGCGUUGGUUGUCCAGGUUUAAGGUGGUAGGCUGAGAUCUUAGGUAAAUCCGGGAUCUUAAGGCCGAGAGCUGAUGACGAGUGUUCUUUUAGAACACGAAGUGGUUGAUGCCAUGCUUCCAAGAAAAGCUUCUAAGCUUCAGGUAACCAGGAACCGUACCCCAAACCGACACAGGUGGUUGGGUAGAGAAUACCAAGGCGCUUGAGAGAACUCGGGUGAAGGAACUAGGCAAAAUGGCACCGUAACUUCGGGAGAAGGUGCGCCGGUGGAGGUGAAGCAUUUACUGCGUAAGCCCCUGCCGGUCGAAGAUACCAGGCCGCUGCGACUGUUUAUUAAAAACACAGCACUCUGCAAACACGAAAGUGGACGUAUAGGGUGUGACGCCUGCCCGGUGCCGGAAGGUUAAUUGAUGGGGUUAGCGCAAGCGAAGCUCUUGAUCGAAGCCCCGGUAAACGGCGGCCGUAACUAUAACGGUCCUAAGGUAGCGAAAUUCCUUGUCGGGUAAGUUCCGACCUGCACGAAUGGCGUAACGAUGGCGGCGCUGUCUCCACCCGAGACUCAGUGAAAUUGAAAUCGCUGUGAAGAUGCAGUGUAUCCGCGGCUAGACGGAAAGACCCCGUGAACCUUUACUAUAGCUUUGCACUGGACUUUGAAUUUGCUUGUGUAGGAUAGGUGGGAGGCUUUGAAGCGUGGACGCCAGUCUGCGUGGAGCCAACCUUGAAAUACCACCCUGGCAACUUUGAGGUUCUAACUCAGGUCCGUUAUCCGGAUCGAGGACAGUGUAUGGUGGGUAGUUUGACUGGGGCGGUCUCCUCCUAAAGAGUAACGGAGGAGUACGAAGGUGCGCUCAGACCGGUCGGAAAUCGGUCGUAGAGUAUAAAGGCAAAAGCGCGCUUGACUGCGAGACAGACACGUCGAGCAGGUACGAAAGUAGGUCUUAGUGAUCCGGUGGUUCUGUAUGGAAGGGCCAUCGCUCAACGGAUAAAAGGUACUCCGGGGAUAACAGGCUGAUACCGCCCAAGAGUUCAUAUCGACGGCGGUGUUUGGCACCUCGAUGUCGGCUCAUCACAUCCUGGGGCUGAAGCCGGUCCCAAGGGUAUGGCUGUUCGCCAUUUAAAGUGGUACGCGAGCUGGGUUUAGAACGUCGUGAGACAGUUCGGUCCCUAUCUGCCGUGGACGUUUGAGAUUUGAGAGGGGCUGCUCCUAGUACGAGAGGACCGGAGUGGACGAACCUCUGGUGUUCCGGUUGUCACGCCAGUGGCAUUGCCGGGUAGCUAUGUUCGGAAAAGAUAACCGCUGAAAGCAUCUAAGCGGGAAACUUGCCUCAAGAUGAGAUCUCACUGGAACCUUGAGUUCCCUAAAGGGCCGUCGAAGACUACGACGUUGAUAGGUUGGGUGUGUAAGCGCUGUGAGGCGUUGAGCUAACCAAUACUAAUUGCCCGUGAGGCUUGACCAU